AGUAAGAGUGUGCGUUAGUGAGAGUGUGUAAGUGACAUUGUGUGCUUACUGAAGACUGUGUGAGUGACCGUGCAACCAAUUAUAUUCAUAAUACAUUUUAUGGAUUAUAAUGAACAGUGAACCUGUCAGACAGUUUUACAAUAUUUGUAUAGGUCUUUGUGAAUCUAAUUAGAAGACCAGUUUGUGAAGGUACAUUCCAAAAUACUGAGUGCAGGUAUCCACGCAGCUGGGGCUCUUUCCUGACCAAUGGCAGGAGCUGAGAGUCCACGAAUUUCUGAUCUGCUUUGCGCUGUUGUGUUUUUCCUUCUCUGUGUCAAAAAUCUCUCCCUCCUGGUUCUUGGGUCUGCGCAGCCUCUUCUUCUUGAAGUAUCAUUCAGAUGCUUUGGAAUCUUAACAGUUGAGAUAUCAACUUUGGUGGAAGUGGCAAUUACAAACUUUUGGUGAGCCCU